rnacentral:sRNA from 1 species
GUCACCCAGAACCGGGCGCUGCAGCUGCUUUAUGAUCUGCGUUACCUCAACAUUGUUCUGACAGCCAAGGCUGACGAGGUGAAGAGUGGCCGGAGCAAGCCAGACUCCAGAAUUGAGAAAGUGACUGACCACCUGGAAGCCCUCAUUGAUCCGUUUGACCUGGACGUUUUCACGCCACACCUCAACAGCAACCUUCAUCGCCUGGUGCAGCGAACUUCUGUUCUGUUUGGAUUGGUGACUGGUACAGAGAAUCAGCUCGCCCCCCGGAGCAGUACGUUCAACUCCCAAGAACCCCAUAACAUCCUGCCACUGGCAUCCAGUCAGAUCAGGUAAAGGCUGCCAAGAGGCUUCUGCCAGGCACUUUGCGAGGCCGAGGCAGGCGGAUCACGAGGUCAGGAGAUCGAGACCAUCCUGGCUAACACGGUGAAACCCUGUCUCUACUAAAAAAAUACAAAAAAUUCCUAUAGUCCCAGCUACUCAGGAGGCUGAGGCAGGAGAAUGGCAUGAACUCGGGAGGCAGAGCUUGCAGUGAGCCGAGACUGCGCCACUGCACUCCAGCCUGGGCGACAGAACGAGACUCCGU